GACGAACGCUGGCGGCGUGCUUAACACAUGCAAGUCGAACGGAAAGGCUCCUCUUUGCAGGGGUACUCGAGUGGCGAACGGGUGAGUAACACGUGGGUGACCUGCCCCGCACUUCGGGAUAAGCCCGGGAAACUGGGUCUAAUACCGGAUAGGACAGCGGUUUGGAUGCCAUUGUGGAAAGUUUUUCCGGUGUGGGUUUGGAACGCGGCCUUUCUGCUUGUUGGUGGGGUAAUGUCCUACCAAGGCGUCGAGGGGUAGGCGGCCUGGGAGGGUGUACGGGCACAAUUGGGCUGAGAUACGGGCCAGACUCCUACUGGGAGGAGCAAGGGGGGAUGAUGCACAAUGGGCGCAAGCCUGGUGCAGCGACGCCGCGUGGGGGAUGACCGCCUUCGGGUUGGUAACUCGUUUCGCCAGGGACGAAAGGUUAAGUGACGGUAACGAGCAAAGAAGCACCGGCUAACUACGUG
rnacentral:rRNA from 1 species